AUGUGAAGUAAUGGCACCGAGGGCAUCACCUCAUCACCUCUGAAAGUAGCUCAGAUUGCUAUUGAUUCCAUUGGGUUGGGUUAUAACAUCAGCACUGAUCUGAGACUCAAGUACUGCAAGAAAGAGUGUGCAGAUCCAUGUCUGAUAGAGCUUGAUCAUGAUCAGGUCCAAGAUCUAGUUCUUCCCGGCGGCAUAUCGGUUGCAAAUGUUCCCAAGGCCAUCAAAUAUGACAAGGGAUAGAGGACACGAUUUAGAUCUGAUGUUCCCUCUUUCAGCAGUUGCACUGCUGGGAGGGCCAUCACUGCUAAGAGCCUGUAAAUGUUUCUGAAGAGAAGAAGUCCAUGGAGAAGCAUGGAAAGCAUCGGAAGAAGAAUUCUGAGUCAGUGAGUGUUCUUUCUUUACCCUAAAUCAUGUUCCUUUUUUUUGGAAUUUUAUUUUAUUCUGGCUGUAUUUACUGAUAGAAAAGAGGUGAUAUAUAUAUUUGUGGUGCUCUUGGAUGGAGGGAAUGAAAAUGGAGGAAAAUAAUUGAUAGAGGUGAAAAGAAAAGGAAAGAUAAAUUUCAUUGGUAUAUGUCUUCUUAAUUUGUAUAUCCAUCUUAUUUUCUGUGUGUUUGCAUUUUGGACUUGGGAUUGAAUGAGAAUAGAUGAGAACAUGGACACUGGUGAAAGGGAAAGCAAAGAUUAGAAAUUUCAUGGAUGUAUAUCCAUCUUAUUUUCUGUGUUUGUGGACUUUGGAUUGAACUUAAAUGAAAAAAAAAAAACCACAGAAAUUGGUGAAAGGAAAAGCAAAUAUUAGAAAUUUUGUUAAUAUGUUUUUUUUUCUUGCUUAUCCACAUGUGCAUCCAAAUUGUUAGCUGAAAUUGUUAAGAAAGGAGAUGUCAUAAUGGUUUAUGCUUGUUACUUGGUACUCAGUUGUUGAGGGAAAAAAUAUUUACUAUUGCAAACUGGUACCACACCUAGAGUCAUUUGAUGGCAUAAGAAAAUGGAUCCAAUUGUUUGGUUGUGAUCUGGUCCCUGGAACAGCAGAGAUUUAUAUAACAAAAAAGCAUUAGUUGGUGGACCAUGUGUUGAAAGAGCGGUUUGUGAUUUAUUGUUGGAGAUUGAAGGUGAUCAGAGUAUCUACA